rnacentral:rRNA from 1 species
CGAAAACCCGGUGAUCUACCCAUGUCCAGGAUGAAACGAGGGUAAAAACCUCGUGGAGGUCCGAACUCACUACAGUUGAAAAUGUAGGGGAUGAGGUGUGGGUCGGAGUGAAAGGCUAAUCAAACCGGGAGAUAGCUGGUUCUCGCCGAAAGAUAUUUAGGUAUCGCCUCGGAAAACUCUGUCGAGGAGGUAGAGCACUGGAUGGGCUAGGGGUCUUACCAGAUUACCAAACCCAACCAAACUCCUAAUGCCUCGACAUUUACUCCGGGAGUCAGGCUGUGGGAGCUAAGUUCCAUGGCCAAAAGGGAAAGAGCCCAGACCGCCAGCUAAGGUCCCUAAGUCGUUGCUAAGUGGUAAAGGAUGUGGAAGCACACAGACAACCAGGAGGUUGGCUUAGAAGCAGCCAUCCUUUAAAGAAAGCGUAAUAGCUCACUGGUCAAGUGAGUCCGCGCCGAAAAUUUAACGGGGCUAAAGUACGCACCGAAGCUGCGGGUUGAUUUUAUCAGCGG